rnacentral:rRNA from 1 species
UUAAUUCACUUUCCAAUCUAUUUGCUAACUAUUCAAACAAAAGCAAGCUGUUGCCAUCUGAACGUCAACAAGAGACCAGACGGAACUGCCCUAAAGGUAUUCGUUGCAAUCCUCAAUCCCGAUCACCACAUUCCGCUAAAGGUUAUAACACUCCCGAAGGAGCCACAUCCCUCCAGCCUUUUUAUGACGUUCGAAAUUGAUGUUAACCAGCGGACACGAAAGUGCUCCCCCUCAUCGUGAGACACAUGCUGUGGCGGUUUUGAGGCUCGCCACAACAUGGGUCUCCCGA